GAGGCAAAAUGUCCCUGAAGUGUUCUCUGGGGAACCUCCAGCACCUUGCACAGUGCCUGACACACAGCAGGGGCCUCAUAAAUGGCUGUUAAUAAGUGAUAAAACCCACCCAAGACUGCUUUUCUUGCUGCUUUUGAUAAAACUCAUAAGCGAACUCUGAGUGACAGCUGCUUUCUUUGCCUCGUCCUGCUCCCUGUAGCUACCUCUGUGCCUCCAUCCCACAGUUAGAUGCAACAUCCCUGAUUUCCAGGAUCAGCUUAGUUCAUGCCAUUGACCCUUGAUUUUUUUGGUCUAUUCCCAUGUUCACCAGGAAGAGAAGCAUGAGGUUACAUCUGUAAUCUCCCUGCAGCAGAGUCAACUGCAUAAGAAACCAAAAGACACACCUGCUCCAUGCCAGCUUCGAUAAUUUCUUUGUACCUUCGGCGAAAGAAGCCCAUCUGAAAGGCAGAAAGAAAGAGAAGCUGAGUUAGAAGUGCUGAAGAAUCAGCCAUUGUGACCCCAAGGCAGUCUGUCCCUGGCCUAAGCCACCACAUAAAAAGUCAGACCAUCUGCUGGAAGAACCACAUGGAGAGGCCCUGAGUCAACAUGGAGAGGAAGAAGGACUUGACUGAAUCCAGCCUUCCAGCUGUCCCUACCAAGGUGCCAGGCAUGAGAAUGAAGCUGUCUUGAACU
rnacentral:lncRNA from 1 species